UGCCAGCAGCCGCGGUAAUACGAAGGGGGCGAGCGUUGUUCGGAAUUACUGGGCGUAAAGGGCGCGUAGGCGGUCUUUUAAGUUAGGCGUGAAAGCCCCGGGCUCAACCUGGGAACUGCGCUUAAGACUGAAAGACUAGAAAACGGAAGAGGGUAGUGGAAUUCCCAGUGUAGAGGUGAAAGUCGUAGAUAUUGGGAAGAACACCAGUGGCGAAAGCGGAUACCUGGUCCGAUUUUGAAGCUGAGUCGCGAAAGCGUGGGGAGAGAACAGGAUUAGAUA
rnacentral:rRNA from 1 species